UUGACUUCAGUCUGACUGUGGGUAAAAUACAUUUCAGGAAGGCUGAAAUUGGUGUCAUCUGACAGCGGACAAAAUACAUUUUGGGAAGGGGGAAAUUGGCCUACAAGAAGUCAGCAAGUCUCAUUUCUCUUUCAUUACCUGAAGGCUGGCAAUGGUUGAAUUCUCCCUAGCAAAGUAACUCCUAGAAUUAUAUUUCCUUUUCCAAUUUGUUCAACAUAUCCUUACUAAUGUAAUCAAACUAGCACACUGCAGAUGCCAACCUCUGGAAGGUAACACAUACUAAAAGAGCAAUUUCCAAGAACCUUGUUAAUCCACUUCUUUUGCACCAAACACUCUGCAAAUGGAGCUAACACCCCAAGUAUUUUUUAUUGAUAAGAACAAUUUAUGAUCGAUACAAGACAACCUCUGGACAGUAACACCUACUAAAAUAUCAAUUUCCUAGAUCACUGCUAAUCCGCUUCUUUUGCACCAAACACCCUGCAUAUGGAGCUAACAAUCAAGUACUUUUGAUUGAUAAGAACAUUUUAUGCACUGAACACUCAAUAUGACCCAACCCAAAAAAUGAGAGGAUCGCACCCUCCGGAAAUUUAUGAUCCCGACAUCUGUAACGCACAGAGCACAAUAAUAAUAUUCAUUGACAAUAACUGAAAAUACAUCCCAUCAAGUGUCAUCAUUAUUACUGGAGUAAACAUCUAACUAUACUUUUAUUAAAUAUCAUAUAACAAUCUUCACCUUGCUAGAAUCGAACACUUCUCAAUCCAUAGUUCCCCAGCUACGGAUCAUCUGAAAUAUGUAAUUUUCAGAUCGAUAGGGAUUAUCUUAGUAGAAACAAGAUGUCAAGAAAUCUAGUUGUCUCAUGCAAUCAGCAAAAGAUAAGAAUAAUAAUGAAAAAAGAGUAUAACUUAGAAUAAAAGAUCUCACAAAUUCAUCAUGAGAAAAGCACAUCCAUUAGUGCACUUUGCUGCAUCGGAACUCGUCCGACUGCUCAGGAUGAAGCAACCUCCUUAUAGACUAAAUUCAUAUCACAUUCCCUGCUAUUAGUCCAUUACUAGGAUCAAGUGGUGCCCGGCAACAGUAGAAAUACGUCUUUCUAUGGAUGCAAGGAAUAUCUUAUAAGCUUCUAUGACGACUACUAAUCCCUUUCAAAAUUGCCUACUAAUCAUGACAAUGUUGUUCAAUCAUCCAUAUAUGUAUAUAUCAACAUGCUGCACAACCAUGCAACAACAUCCUUUCACAUGCUCAAGCGUCCAACUUAUGCAUCAUGGCACUUCUAACAAAUAUUAAUUAUAGGCUACAAUAGAGGCAUCAAUAUAAAAUUGAUUGCCAAAAGAAAUAUGAUCUAAUAACAGCAUAUUAAAAUUUCAUCAUGUCAGCAUAAAGAGAAUCUAGGUUUUAUGAGGCACCUAACACUAUAUUGAUCAUCCAAAUUGGAUACAGAGUCCAAAAAAGUUAUUAUUGAUUUACAAUUCAGUCCUCAAAAUUUACAAUCAUUUCUUCAAUACAUUGCAAACCAGUCCCUAGCAGUCUUAAUGGGCAGGACCUUAGGCAGCCACGUGGAACUUGGUCUCACAGGCAGGACCACAUGGAGUUGGCCUGUCUGAGCUGAAGUGCAUGAAGUUUAGACCACCCCCGUACUCAAAUGCUUAAAUUGGUAAAGGACAACUUGUACAUUCCAGUGCUUAAAUUGAGAACAAAACAUUGGCAAUACGGAAAGUGUGGUUUCCUUCAUAAAUCUAAGAGUUUCAACUUCAUUCUCAAGAAGACGGUCAGCUUCAAACUAUCAUGGUGGAAACCUGGUAUUCAUUAAGGUUUUGCAUUUAUAAAGAGAGAAAUUUCAACUGAAUUGACCGAUCAGCAAGAAGAAAGAAGUGGUUCAAACUAAUCACUUAAGAAAGAGAACAAAAUUUGAUAAACAAAAUAUACAAAAAAUUGAAACCCAACCUCAUUUCCCUUUUUUGGGUUUCGGGUUUGGUUUUGGAAUGGAGGGACUUUAGUAAAUUUAUAUAAAAGGUGACCAACCCUUGCCCUAAAUCAAAAGCCUCAUCAUCCAGCUCAAAAUCACCAAAGCAUCCAACCAUACCAUCCAAAAGAAUCCUACUUCUUAUCAUUUGAAAAAAUUAACCAAAACUCGAAACCUAAAUUACCAAAUAUCCGAAGUCAAAUCAAUUCAAAACUUCAGGUGUCCAAUAACCUACAUAAGUCUGAUAUCUUCCAGUAGACUUAAAACAAAUAGGACAAGAAUAACAAUUCUAUGUGGCGUCUACACAAGUGAUUAUAAACAAGCAAUUAACUCUAUCGGCAAUUUCAUCACAAAUCUUCUCAACAUUCUUCAUUUUCUUACUACGUGUAAGCAUCCAAACUCAUAUUACAUUCACAGAAACGAAGUAAAUGGCAGGAAUUAUUUGGUCGCAAACUGUAGAUCAUGUUAUGCGGAUAGUGGAAAAUUGGAACCUGGAAACAUAACUUGCUGGUACAAAAGCUUGUGCUAUGCAUUAUGCAUUUCCACGAUCAAAUGCAGUGAUGUUUUUGGGGACUCCAUUAUACAACUCAAUGAGUUCUGGAUACUCCUUGUAGCGGUUGACGAACUUCUCCACAAAUUUCUUCUCUGAAUAUUUCACGUAUGUAGACAUACUAAGGUUACUGAUGCAAACUCCCCUAGACUUCAGGCCUGUCACAAUCUGAUGCCUUGGCAUCAACCUUUUCUCCAAACUGCACAACAAAAUAUCUGGCCGAAGUGCAAUAUGAGAUGGAGCACAUCCGGCUUCAUUUACCAAGAACUCCAACUUCCUCUGCAAACUCUUUAAAGAAAUUUGCACAAACGUAGGAGCCUUUCUGAAUGCAGCAAGGAAAUCAUCCUCGGACCACCCGAAGCCCUCGAAGAACUCCAAGUGAGCCUUGAAGUUAUUCUCGGAGACGUUGUGGAGCACAGUCAGGGUCAAGGGGAACAUCCCUGAGGUGCAAGCUACUCCCAAACCCUCGGCACGACUGAUUAACGCCUUCAGGGUUUCAGCAUUCCGGGUUAUGAGGAGAGGAUAUUGCCUUAGGAUCAUUGAGAGCUUCUGAUCCGUCAUCCCGCAAUCCCUUAGAAUUUCAAUGUUAGGCUGGAUCGUCUUCUCGAUGCUAUACCCGAGAAACCUCCUGUUUUUCUUGCACAAGUUCAUCAGUAAGUCGUUGGACCCGAGGAGGCCUUGCCAUAAUUGGAUCUUGGACAAGAUGGUCUGGGAUUUGUCGCUGAUGACGUCGUUAUUCGAUCUGACGAGGUGGGUGAUGUCGGAGCAGGAGAAGCCCAGAUCCUGCAAAGCUCGGAACUUUGGGGCCAGGGUCUUCUCCACGUCGAGGAGAAGCCACCGGGGGUUUGCAGAUAUGACCUUUUUCACCUGGGUGUUGUCAAAACCGUAGCUUUUAAAAAAGCCAAGGACGGAGUCAGGCUGGUGGCGGGAUUCGACGCGACCAAGGAGCUUCGAGGCUUUGGCCGCCUGAUCAGGAUGGAAGCCACAGUAGCUGACCAGGUAUUCAGCCAUAAGGCUGCUCUCUGGAGCACCGGAGGCGGCGGAAUAAGAAUGGGUUGCGAGAAAAAGGGCAGCAUCGGCCGGACGACAGCAAGGGACGAAUGCAAGGGCUUUGGACAAGAGAGAGACGUAGGGCGACCUAUUCAUCAAUGUCAUCGUCUUCUUCUUCUUCUUCUUCUUCUUUGUAGGUUCCUUCUCUUUACCAAAACCUAGCGAAGGUGGCGUAGCUGCGUAUAGAGGAGCGCGUUUUGGCCGGAAGUACCUGCGUCUUAAACCCUAGAAGUGCGUUACCGUGUUCGACAUUUUUUUUUUCUGGCGGAGAUUACUGCGACCGCAGGAGUCUUUUUUUUCUUUGUCAACUUUUAGUUUGUUGAGGGGAGAAACAACUUUUAUUGCGUGCCAACUAAAGAUAAUAAAAGGUGUUCUUUUAGAAAAAAUUUGCACUAUUAUUUUUUUAUCUAGGGUUUAUUUUUUAUAGUUAGAACAAAAAUAUACCCUUAAUCUUCUAUUAAAAAUGACUUGAUCAGCUAUUAAAAAAUUGAUAUCAAAAAUUUUUAAAAAAAUAUAAAAAGCUAUGCUAAUCAUUUUAAAAUCAAUAGAUAUGCAUCGAAGAUGAUUAAUAUCUAUUUUUAUUUUAAAAAUUUUUAUAAUUAAUUAUCAAAUUAUAAUUUAUUUAAAUAAUAUCUAUGAUUAAGUCACAUAAGUUAAAAUAUAAGAGUGUUUUUUGUCUAAAUAAAAAUACCUAAAUAAAAAUGAAUAUGGAGGGUUUCAUCGAUAAGAAAACUAAUACUAUAAAUUAUUUUUUUAUAAAAGACCCGACAUACAUGAAUGAAUGCUAGAAAACAACUAAUCCAUCAUAAAAUUUGAUGAACUAAUACAUAUGUAUUCUAAUUAUCAAGUUAAAGUCAACAAUAAAAAAUUCAUGUAAUCUUUAAUGCCAUCAUAACCAUCAACUAUUUAUGAUGUGAAUGGCAAAACCGCUCAUUGUUCACUUAAGAAUCUACUCAUUAGAUUUUCACUAGAUAGAGAACAGACAACAACUCGUAAACAUGUCAACUAUCUUACUAGAAACAUACACUAUCUAUGAAACAAUGCCCAAGGCAACUUCUAUCUAGAAAUUAAUAAUAAUUAGAUGAUCAUGUUCACACUCAAAAUAGAAAGUCAUUCAUCCUAUAAUCAUUAACUUAUUAUAUCCAUACCAAGAUUAAGAAAGUAUCCCGAUGAUUAACAUUGAUUUAGAUUCGAUUAUAUUUGAUUUAACAUAUUGACAAAUAUUGUAAUUGGUAUAUAUAUCCUUCGACGGAAUCAAAUAAUUUGGGUAAUAUAUCUCACGGCUAAUUCUCACUCUUUAUUAUUUUUCAAUAUCGAAAAAUUAUUCUGUCAGUUUAAGGGAUAUAUACUUGAUCUAGCUAGCUCUUUAUACAAAGUAACUCAAAAUCUCUUUUCAAUUUAUCAUCUCAAAAUUAUUAGAAUACAUGACUCUUUAUAAUUGAAUAAGAUAUAUAAUAAAAUUAAUUAGAUUUUAAUGACGAAUAUUAGUCAAUAGAAAGAAAUAUCAAAAUAUGUGCCAAGUGAGAGAAUAUCUUAUAAAUUAAUGGGCUAAGUGAGAGAAUAUCAAAUAUGUGACCCUUUAUAAUUGAAUAAGAUAUAUAAUAAAACUAAUUAGAUUAUGAUAAUGGAUAUUAGCCAAUAGAAAGAAAGUUUAUAUUAUAGUAUGAUUCCUUAGGGGGUGCCCUUGAUGGGAGGAACUCUCUUAAUUAUUUAUCAUAGACUCUCUACUCUCGUCUAUAAAUAGAUGGGACCUCAUAGGGACUAAUGACAUGAUGUUUAUAUGAUGUAAUGGUCAUGAACACAUACACGAGAUACAAUAUGUGACAAUGAGAGAUUACGAUUCCUUUCUCAUCCUCUCUUGUCUCUGAACCAUUAAUAACUAUAAUCUUGUGAAAAGGUAGAAAGAGAUGAGGAGUGUUUAGUUCUCCUUGUAGAUCGACAUUUGAUAUAAACGAUUUUGCCCCACACAAACUCAUCUACCACUAAGGCCAACACCUAUGGAGAGUUUCAGGUCAUUAGCUUCGAAAUGGCACCAUAGUGUCGAUAACCAUCCUACUUUAUUAAGAUCAAAGAAUAAUCAGGUGAUUUUGCUAAUCUUAUCCAAGGCCAACCAAUAAAAGGCCUAGGGAUCAAGUAUAAAAAGGAACUCAUUAACUCACGCUGAGAGGGGGGACUCUCUAUACACUAACCUAGUCAUACAGCUUACACUACUAUCUUUCCCCUUUCACUGACUUAAGCAUCGGAAGGAAUGCGUUGGGCAACCCCUAAUGCUGGCCUAUCAUGCAAGAUUGCUGACGGUCAAGUGAUGAUCGGACCCAAUCCUUGUCAAUAGAACCUCGUAAUCUUUAAUGCCAUCAUAACCAUCAACUAUUUAUGAUGUGAAUGGCAAAACUGCUCAUUGUUCACUUAAGAAUCUACUCAAUAGAUUUUCACUAGAUAGAGAACAGACAACGACUCGUAAACAUGUCAACUAUCUUACUAGAAACAUACACUAUCUAUGAAACAAUGCCCAAGGCAACUUCUAUCUAGAAAUUAAUAAUAAUUAGAUGAUCAUGUUCACACUAAAAAUAGAAAGUCAUUCAUCCUAUUAUCAUUAACUUAUUAUAUCCAUACCAAGAUUAAGAAAGUAUCCUGAUGAUUAACUUUGAUUUAGAAUCGAUUAUAUUUGAUUUAACAUAUUGACAAACAUUGUAAUUGGUAUAUAUAUCCUUCGACGGAAUCAAAUAAUUUGGGUAAUAUAUCUCACGGCUAAUUCUCACUCUUUAUUAUUUUUCAAUAUCGAAAAAUUAUUCUGUCAGUUUAAGGGAUAUAUACUUGAUCUAGCUAGCUCUUUAUACAAAGUAACUCAAAAUCUCUUUUCAAUUUAUCAUCUCAAAAUUAUUAGAAUACAUGACUCUUUAUAAUUGAAUAAGAUAUAUAAUAAAAUUAAUUAGAUUUUGAUGAAAACUAUUAGUCAAUAGAAAGGAAUAUCAAAAUACGUGCUAAGUGGGAGAAUAUCUUAUAAAUUAAUGGGCCGCCUCCGGUGCUCCAGAGAGCAGCCUUAUGGUUAAUAAAAACACUAUACGUGCUAAGUGGGAAAUUCCUAUGAUGGCUAAUAAAAACACUAUAAUAAACUAAUUUUACUCUUAUUUGGAUGAUAUUAUUGUUAAAUUAUUUUAAAUAUAUGAUAUAUCAAAUGGUUUGUAGUAUGUUUGGAUUUCUCAGUUAUAGUAUUUUUUAAAUAACAUUAUAGUGUUUUUAUAAGGUGUAAAGCAAUUGAAAAAUCUUUGAUUAUCGUUGAUCGUAAAUGUGUAGUUAGUUUGACUGAAUCUAUUCGGGUUAUUUAUAAUAUUUUUAUUAUGAUAAUCAAAAUACUAUAAAAAUUAAUUUUUGAUUCUCAUUUUGAUGACCAAACUAUUGUGUAAAUCAUAUAAAUCAGAUCAUGCUACUGUACAAACCAAUCCAUCAACUUGGAUUCAAACACCGAUAUAUCGGUCUAUAAGGUAUCUAUGAAACUAGUGGGAAAAAUAUCAUUGAGGCUGGUAAGAAAUACUUUCAGUAUUAUUCAAAAUAGAAGGUAUCAUUUGAGAAAUAUGAGACAUCUUUUAGGAAAAUAAUAAUAAAAAAAGUGAGACAUCUUCGAAAUCACCCGAAAACUUUUGCUCACUUGUUUACUAGGGUCUUCUAGACUUUGCAGCAUCAAGAGAGUUCCUCUCCUCCGAACUCCUGUUUACCUAACAUCUCUACGAUGAUCAACAUGCGUUAGGGUGCAAGUCAACUAAAACUUCCCUUGAUCCCGAUAACUCAACAAGAGUAAGCAGUGCUUCAGUUUAAUUUGACCAAGUACGUGCCUGCCAGAGACACUGCAGUUAAUUCUACAAGGCCAAUAAUGUAUGAAUACAUAAGAAAAAGCUCAACGCAAAAGAUUGGAAGAUUAUUUUGAUGUAUUUGUACAGAGAAAACAAUACAACAAAGUCUUUAGAAAAGGAACACACCAAAAGAUUAAAAAUAGGACGAAUGGCUGAGACUAGCAUGCUAUACUAUAUAAGAAUCUGGAGAACCAAGGGUGGAAUCAAAUUCGAGAUUACAUGUUGCUAUUAGGCAAUAAAUUUAGAGAUGCUCUAUUGUCACAUUGAAGCACAAGUUUGUAACAUAAAAAACAACCUGCAUAAUUUGACAUAUUAACUAGACUUCCAGAUCAACUUUUUGUUUGAUAGCUAUUACAGCUUUGACAAAAAUAAGACACCGAACAAAGGAUGCAAAAGAAACAUAUAGUAGCAAAAGCCAAAAAAGUUGAAAUGUGGAUUUUCAUAGUACAUAAACCAGUAUAACUACAUAUCAUAAAUAUAACCAAAGAUUCUAACUGUUAGAAAUAUCUUGACUUCAGUCUGAGUGUGGGUAAAAAACAUUUCAAGAAGGCUGAAAUUGGUGUCAUCUGACAGCGGACAAAAUACAUUUUGGGAAGGGAGAAAUUGGCCUACAAGAAGUCAGCAAGUCUCAUUUCUCUUUCAUUACCUGAAGGCCGGCAAUGGUUGAAUUCUCCCUAGCAAAGUAACUCCUAGAAUUAUAUUUCCUUUUCCAAUUUGUUCAACAUAUACUUACUAAUGUAAUCAAACUAGCACACUGCAGAUGCCAACCUCUGGAAGGUAACACAUACUAAAAGAGCAAUUUCCAAGAACCUUGUUAAUCCACUUCUUUUGCACCAAACACUCCGCAAAUGGAGCUAACACCCCAAGUAUUUUUUAUUGAUAAGAACAAUUUAUGAUCGAUACAAGACAACCUCUGGACAGUAACACCUACUAAAAUAUCAAUUUCCAAGAUCACUGCUAAUCCACUUCUUUUGCACCAAACACCCUGUAAAUGGAGCUAACAAUCAAGCACUUUUGAUUGAUAAGAACAUUUUAUGCACCGAACACUCAAUAUGACCCAACCAAAAAAAUGAGAGGAUCGCACCCUCCGUAAACUUAUGAUCCAGACAUCUGUAACGCACAGAGCACAAUAAUAAUAUUCAUUGACAAUAAUGGAAAAUGCAUCCCAUCAAGUCUCAUCAUUAUUACUGGCGUACACAUCUAACUGUGCUUUUAUUAAAUAUCAG
rnacentral:lncRNA from 1 species